CCUACGGGGUGCAGCAGUGGGGAAUAUUGCGCAAUGGGCGAAAGCCUGACGCAGCGACGCCGCGUGAGGGAUGAAGGUCUUCGGAUCGUAAACCUCUGUCAGCAGGGAAGAACGGUCACUGUGCUAAUCAGCAGUGAAUUGACGGUACCUGCAAAGGAAGCACCGGCUAACUCCGUGCCAGCAGCCGCGGUAAUACGGAGGGUGCGAGCGUUAAUCGGAAUUACUGGGCGGAAAGCGCUCGUAGGCGGUAUGUCAAGUCAAGGGUGAAAUCCCCGCGCUCAACGUGGGAACUGCCUUUGAAACUGGCAAACUUGAGUGUGUGUGAGGAAAGUGGAAUUCGAGGUGUAGGAGUGAAAUCCGUAGAUAUCUGGAGGAACAUCGGUUGCGAAGGCGACUAUCUGGCACAUAACUGACGCUGAGGAGCGAAAGCGUGGGUAGCAAACAGGAUUAGAUACCCUUGUAGUC
rnacentral:rRNA from 1 species